GAACGAAGGCUUCGGCCUUAGUGGCGCACGGGUGCGUAACGCGUGGCAAUCUGCCCUUGGGUCCGGAAUAACGGAGAGAAAUUUCCGCUAAUACCGGAUGAUGACGUAAGUCCAAAGAUUUAUCGCCCAAGGAUGAGCCCGCGUAGGAUUAGCUAGUUGGUGGGGUAAAGGCCCACCAAGGCGACGAUCCUUAGCUGGUCUGAGAGGAUGAUCAGCCACACUGGGACUGAGACACGGCCCAGACUCCUACGGGAGGCAGCAGUGGGGAAUAUUGGACAAUGGGCGAAAGCCUGAUCCAGCAAUGCCGCGUGAGUGAUGAAGGCCUUAGGUCUUGUAAAGCUCUUGGACCCGGGAUGAUAAUGAUCGUACCGGGAGAAUAAGCUCCGGCUAACUCCGUG
rnacentral:rRNA from 1 species